rnacentral:rRNA from 1 species
UACGUAGGGUGCAAGCGUUGUCCGGAAUUAUUGGGCGUAAAGAGCUCGUAGGCGGUUUGUCGCGUCUGCUGUGAAAACUCGGGGCUUGACCCCGGGCCUGCAGUGGGUACGGGCAGACUAGAGUGCGGUAGGGGAGACUGGAAUUCCUGGUGUAGCGGUGAAAUGCGCAGAUAUCAGGAGGAACACCGGUGGCGAAGGCGGGUCUCUGGGCCGUAACUGACGCUGAGGAGCGAAAGCGUGGGGAGCGAACAGG